UACGGGGGGGGCAAGCGUUGUUCGGAAUUACUGGGCGUAAAGGGCUCGUAGGUGGCCAACUAAGUCAGACGUGAAAUCCCUCGGCUUAACCGGGGAACUGCGUCUGAUACUGGAUGGCUUGAGUUUGGGAGAGGGAUGCGGAAUUCCAGGCGUAGCGGUGAAAUGCGUAGAUAUCAGGAGGAACACCGGCGGCGAAGGCGGCUUCCUGGCCCAAUACUGACGUUGAGGUACGAAAGCGUGGGUAGCAAACAGG
rnacentral:rRNA from 1 species